UACGGGGGGAGCAAGCGUUGUUCGGAUUUACUGGGCGUAAAGGGCGCGUAGGCGGUCAGCACAAGUCAGUUGUGAAAUCUCCGGGCUUAACUCGGAAAGGUCAACUGAUACUGUGCGACUAGAGUGCGGAAGGGGCAACUGGAAUUCUCGGUGUAGCGGUGAAAUGCGUAGAUAUCUGGAGGAAUACCGGUGGCGAAGGCGGCAUCCUGGACCAACACUGACGCUGAGGCGCGAAGGCCAGGGGAGCAAACGGG
rnacentral:rRNA from 1 species